rnacentral:rRNA from 1 species
UACGUAGGGUGCGAGCGUUAAUCGGAAUUACUGGGCGUAAAGCGUGCGCAGGCGGUUCGUUGUGUCGGCGGUGAAAGCCCCCGGCUCAACUGGGGAGGGUCACGCGAUACUGCUCGACUCGAAGGCAGGAGAGGGAAGUGGAAUUCCCGGUGUAGUGGUGAAAUGCGUAGAUAUCGGGAAGAACACCGGUGGCGAAGGCGGCUCGCUGGGCUGUUGCUGACGCUGAGGUGCGAAAGCGUGGGGAGCAAACAGG